rnacentral:misc_RNA from 1 species
UACGUAGGGUGCAAGCGUUAUCCGGAAUCAUUGGGCGUAAAGAGCUAGUAGGCGGUUUGUCGCGUCUGCUGUGAAAACGCGAGGCUCAACCUCGCGCCUGCAGUGGGUACGGGCAAACUAGAGUGCGGUAGGGGAGAUUGGAAUUCCUGGUGUAGCGGUGGAAUGCGCAGAUAUCAGGAGGAACACCAAUGGCGAAGGCAGAUCUCUGGGCCGUAACUGACGCUGAGGAGCGAAAGCAUGGGGAGCGAACAGG